CUGCCCUGCAGGUGGCGGUGUGGGAGCAGCCUGCCACUCGUUGAACCUUGGCUCGCCUGCAGGGGUCCAGAGGAACCGGAAUGAAAGGACACAUCCUGUAGAGUUGUGGUAAUAUGUACCUGUGAAAUCGCUGGCUCAGUACCUAGCAUAUGUCACAUAAGAGGAAGACUUCCAAGCAGACCACACAGCAUGCUUCGUGCUAGGAACCUGCUUAGUCAAGAAUGGGUACAGCUACUGUUAACUCACAGCUCAGGAUGAAAGACCGUUUUCAUUCCCUAAGAUUCUGGUGUCUGGUCUAAGAUUCUUCUGGUGAAAUGUUUUGGGUCUUUUCUGCAAAGGAUCAUACAUAAUCUGCAAAUAGGAAUAACAACUUUUUACUUUUCUUUUCAUAUCCUUUUUAUUUCUUUCUCUUGCCUGAUUUCUUUGGAUAAAAUUUUACGUGGUAUAUUGAACAGGAGUAGCAAGAAUAUAUACUGUUGUCUCAUUUCUCAUUUUAGAGGGAAUGCUCUUAUUUUCUACCAUUUGAUGUGAUGUUGGCUUUGGAUUUGUUGUGUAUGGCUUUAUCAAUUUGAGGUAAAGUCCUUCUAUGCCUAUUUUCACAAAGUUUUUUUUUUUAAUUAUGAAAGAGUGUUGGCUUUUGUCCAACACUACUUUUUAUUCACCUAUUGAAAUGAUGAUGUUAUUUUUAGGCUCAGUUCUGGAUUGUGUUUAUAUGGACACAGAUGAAUCUUAAAUAUCCAGGUUAUAUAGAAAAAUUUCAGGAAGGCUAUGAUCUUAGGAAAGAGGAGAAUGUCAGAUAUGGGCUCAGAAUACACAGAUAUGUAUGUUUGGGUGGGGAUUGGAUGCUUACAUGCAAAUACCAUUUGAACUUGCUUUGUAAUUUAUUGCAGUAAAUGUUUGAGUGUUGAUACAGUAAAAAUUCUGAAUUUAAUUCCUAAUGGGUCAAUCUAGAAUUUCUUUCUGUACAGUAGGAGUGGGGACCCUCCCAUCUGAGGCCUGGGUCUAGCCCUCAAACAAUGGCACAAGGAAAGGCCCCAAGAUGGAACACAAUGCUGUAAAAAGACAUACACCUCCUUGUGAAAACUGGAGUUGACCCUGAAGUUUCGUUGAGAGACAUUUUCCUUAUUGAGCAUGAGACAGCUUUUAGAAAUUUUUAUUCAUUGAACUUAGAAAAAAAUAGGUCAUUUCAUGAACGCGUAAGCUUCUAAUCUUUAGUGAGGGGUCAUUAGAGCCCAUUCUUACAGUAUGGAGAGGAAAAAAGGUGUUUCUGUCUCAAUUUUGGGGGGCGUCUUUUGCUGCUUUUGAUCUUUUCCUUGCUCAUUUUUUUCUACACCACCUGUAUUUCUUUUCUUUUUGUUUGCCCUUGUCCUCAAUUUCUUAUCUUUUUAGUCUUUGUCUCAUCACAUUUUCUGGCUGUAUGUAGGUCAGGGAAAUAAUUAUAAAAAUGAUUUGUCAUUUUCCUUAAUGCAAAUGCACUAUCUGUGUUUUCAUUUCAAAAUCCACAGAGUAAAAUCCUUUACCAUUCCUUCAUUGUAGAAAACAGACCAAAAGAACCUACCAACUUCCACACCCUGCCCAAAGUAACAGAAUUCUUUUUAAGAAACAUCUUAUUGAAUUAAAUAUACUUACAGAAAAGCUCAGCCAUUGUCACUGCACAACUUAAUGAAUUUUCGCAAAGAGCUGCAACCAUAUAACCAGUACUCAGAUCGAAGAUGUCACAUACCAGCACCUCAGGGGACCCUUUCUAACCCUACCCACACUUGAUCUUCCUCUCAUCCAACAGUAACUAUCACUAGACUUUUAAUAUCACAGGUUAAUUCCAUUUGUUUUUGUACUUUAUAGAAAUGUGAUGUCCUAGUUUGGCUCCCCUGGGUUCUGACCUGGAGAGAAAGAUUUUCAUUCAGUGAUGUGAGCAGCUGUGUCCACUGGAACCUUACGCCGUGACCUGCCUGCAUUGAAGCCAGUUGACUAUGGGCUGAAUUAUCUAAACAACCACGAGCCAAAAUGACCCUCUUUUUUUUUAAGAUGUGAGUGCUGGAUAUUUUGUCUUAGCAGUAAGAAAGUGACUAAGACAAUAUCAUUAUUGUGGGAGUAGUUUUGUUAUUGAAAAGAAAGUUCUGCUCCCUUUCUUCUCCCUUGCUGUCUGCCUCUCUCUGUCGAGGUGGUUAGGUCAUGUUUGGUGUCAUUAUUAUGGGAGUAAGUUUGUUGUAAAAGCAAGCUUGGCUGCCUUCCUCCUCCAUUGUUCCCCAAUGCUUGCUGUCUUGUCCUUCUGUAUUCUGGUGUAGAAUGCCAGCCCCUGAAUCUUAGACUUCCCAUCUCCUAGAACCAUGAGUGAUAUGUUUUUCAUUGUUAAUUAUCUGUUCUGAUAUUAAGACAGAGUAGCACAAAACAGACUAAGAAAACAAAUACAGUUAUUGCUAAAACUGUUGGUGAGCAGGGAAGGAGCCAGGGGAAUCAAGAACCUAGAUGCUGUCUUCUGUCAUCUUUUUCUGCUGUGACCAUUGGCGAAGCCCCAGUGAAAGCCAUGAAGAGCAGGACAUGCAUGACAGUCUGCAGAGGUUGGAAUCCUGGCUCAGAGUAGAUAAGGAAGGAGUGUGUCAGAAGAAGCAACCCCAAACUACUCACCAUGCUGGGUUGAAAAUAAAAGACAAAUGUGCCAUCGAAGAGCAAUGGGAAAGAGAUUUGUACUUACAGUCAUUAUCCUGAGGUGACUCAGAGUAAUUUAAAAGAGUGGGUAUACCUGGUGUGGUAGUGCACCCCUAUAAUCCUAGCACUGGGGAAACUGAGGCAGGAGGUUUGCCAAGAGUUUGA